GCAAGUCGAACGGGAUUUAGUAGACCGAAGCUUCGGUGGACGAUUACUAAUGAGAGUGGCGAACGGGUGAGUAACGCGUGAGCAACCUGCCUAUGACAGUGGGAUAGCCUCGGGAAACCGGGAUUAAUACCGCAUCAAAUCGUAGAAACACAUAUUUAGCGGUCAAAGAUGUAUCGGUCAUAGAUGGGCUCGCGUCUGAUUAGCUAGUUGGUGAGAUAACAGCCCACCAAGGCGACGAUCAGUAGCCGGUCUGAGAGGAUGAAC
rnacentral:rRNA from 1 species